UCUACGGGAGGCUGCAGUAGGGAAUUUUCGUCAAUGGGCGCAAGCCUGAACGAGCAAUGCCGCGUGAACGAGGAAGGUCUUCGGAUCGUAAAGUUCUGUUGAAGGGGAAAAAGAGCGGAGAGAGGAAAUGAACUCCGAUUGAUAUUACCCUUCGAGGAAGUCACGGGUAACAACGUGCCAGCAGCCGCGGUAAUACGUAGGUGGGGAGCGUUAUCCGGAAUGAGUGGGCGGAAAGGGUGCGUAGGCGGCCUGCUAAGUCUGGAGUGAAGGGUACCGGCUAAAACGGUACAGGCUCUGGAAACUGGCGGGCUAGAGAGCAGGAGAGGGCGGUGGAACUCCAUGUGUAGCGGUAAAAUGCGUAGAUAUAUGGAAGAACACCAGUGGCGAAGGCGGCCGCCUGGCCUGUUACUGACGCUGAGGCACGAAAGCGUGGGGAGCAAAUAGGAUUAGAUACCCUUGUAGUC
rnacentral:rRNA from 1 species